AAAACAUGACUUUGACCUGCGUCCUCAUCUGGACUCUCCUCUGCUGCUGCUUCACAGAGUCCAGAGGUCAGAUCACAGUGACUCAGCCUGCAGCAGUGAGCUCUGCUCUGGGAGGCUCCGUCACCAUCAACUGUAGGACCAGUCAGAGUGUAAAUGGGAAUUACCUAUCCUGGUACCAACAGAGAGAUGGAGAAACUCCUAAACUUCUCAUUUACAGGGCUAGCACUCGAGCAUCAGGGAUUCCAGGUCGUUUCACAGGCAGUGGAUCAAACUCUGCCUUCAGUCUGACCAUCAGUGGAGUUCAGGCUGAAGAUGCAGCAGUUUACUACUGUAUGGGGGAAUUCUAUGUCAACAGUCAGUAUUCGUUCACACAGUGA